GGUCUGGUGGUGUAGUUGGUUAUCACGUCAGUCUAACAGCUCCAGAGCAUCGUCUCUCGUCUGGUUCCACUGAAGGUCUCCGGUUCAAGUCCGGGCUAGAUCA